GACGAACCGUACGAACGUUGUUCGGAAUCACUGGGCUUAAAGGGCGCGUAGGCGGUCUGCCAAGUCUGGGGUGAAAUCCUCCGGCUCAACCGGAGAACGGCCUCGGAUACUGGCGGUCUCGAGGGAGGUAGGGGCGUGCGGAACUAAGGGUGGAGCGGUGAAAUGCGUUGAUAUCCUUAGGAACUCCGGUGGCGAAGGCGGCACGCUGGACCUCUUCUGACGCUGAGGCGCGAAAGCCAGGGGAGCAAACGGG
rnacentral:rRNA from 1 species